AUGUAAUUAUUAAUGAAAGUUGUAAAAAUACACUAUAUUUAUUUUUUAUACUGCUAUCAAUGUUUCUAAACAAUUCUCAUUUAUACUUUUAUCUAUAUUUUCAAACAAUACCAGAAGGUAUUUCAGUUUUAAUAAUAUAGAUUGAAGAUCCUCAAUAAUAAGAAAAAAAGAAGGAAAGAAUCUGAGAAAACUAAGCUCAUGAUCAUUAAUUCUCCAAUUAUAAAUUUAUAUCACUUUUUUAUUCUCACUCAAUUUACAUCAAACUAUAUAUUAAGAAAAAAAGAAGACAACUGUUGGUAUAGUUUAAAAGAAAAAACGAUUGAGUGCGAGACAUUUAUAAAAUGGGUUCUUCAAAACUUUUCGUCGCAUUCGCGAUAGUGAUUACAUUGUCCAUCUACUAUGAUCAUUUAUCCGGAAUAGGAAUAAACGCGAUAGUUCUGCCUCCGGAUUGUUUCAACGACAAGCCAUGUAACAUAACGUUUAAUAAUCAAGCAUGUAACAAAAUGUGUAGAGGAAUGUCUUAUAAAGAUGGUCUCUGCACGGACCCUGAACUCAUCCCUCCCUAUUUCUGGCGUUGUUGUUGUAACCCAAAAUAACUACACUUUCUUUGAUCAAUAUAUUUCUUUUUUUAAUGCUUUAAAUAUCUAGGAAUAUAAAAAAAUUGUGAGAAUUUCAUAUAAAUAUCUAAUUUGAUUUGUGCACUGUAUUUUUCCAGAAAAUAAUAAUUUUAUUAUGAGAUAAUUGUGAUUGUUUUUUUUUUGACAUCGAGAUAAUUAUAAUUGUUAUUUAACAAAAAAAAACACUUCAUAAUAUCUUAUAUAUUAAAACAGAAGUCACAACCUUGAUUCAUGUGUGAUUUUUUAGAAAAUGGACCAUCAGUCCAUCACUAGAGUUUCAUUACAUUUAAUUGUAUUAUUAAUGUUAUUAUUACGUUAAACCCCAUAUUAUAAACAACUGUUAGUGAAUGUAUAAAUGUAUUGUAUUUAUUCAUAUACACCAAAAGUCGUGUAUUAUGUUUUAGUCAAUACAAAAUAAACGAACACACGUCAUAUUUGCACAACAUCUAAUUCAUGUUUUUGUCAUUUUCCUGUUUUCCACACAUCUGCAUUAAACAGACUUCUAUGAACAUAAACAACAUCAAUUAAUAUUUACAGCAUCCACAAGUUUCUUGGGUUGUAAAAAAAAAUUUCUUGGGUUGUUAGCCUUUGACAUGUUUCUUCUAUGUAUUGUCAGGUUCAUUUUUACACCAUGAUGUGCCUCAAUUCAUUAACCAUUGAUGUUAUAAACUAAACGCAGUAAGCAUUUGGAGAAGAUGAAGAUGGUGAAUACUAAAAUCGGAUAUAAUAUAUAUAUAUAUCAUAAUUUAUUGGCCACAAAAAAAAAAUUAUGUCCUACAUUUAAAAGUCAAUUAAUUAUAAGCCAUAUCUUUUGAAAUAAAUCCUCCAUAUCUUUCGAAACAAUAACUUUGAAUCUAAGCAAAUAUCGUUUACGAUUUUUUUUUUAUUUUAAAAAAAUUUGUUUGUACGUAUAUUCUAUGUAUCACGUGAUUUCAUUCCAUUAAUUAGAAACCUAAAAUUAUAGUUAGUUACAAAAAAAAAUAUACCUAAAAUUAUAGUUCAAGGAAAAUCUGUUCCAAAAA